rnacentral:rRNA from 1 species
GACCCCAGGUCAGCAGACCACCGCC